GAUGAACGCUGGCGGCGUGUCUAAGGCAUGCAAGUCGAACGGACUGUUAUUUGUAGCAAUACUUAGAACAGUUAGUGGCAAACGGGUGCGUAACACAUUGGUAACCUGCCUCAAAGUCGGGCAUAAUCCCGCGAAAGUGGGACUAAUUCCACGAUAGUCAUCGAAGGUGAGAUUCCUUCGAUGUAAAGUCGCAAGACGCUUUGAGAGGGGCCUAUGGCCUAUCAGCUUGUUGGUGAGGUAACGGCUCACCAAGGCUAUGACGGGUAGGGGGUGUGAGAGCACGACCCCCCUCACUGGGACUGAGACACUGCCCAGACACCUACGGGUGGCUGCAGUCGAGAAUAUUCCCCAAUGGCCGAAAGGCUGAGGGAGCGACGCCGCGUGCAGGAA
rnacentral:rRNA from 1 species